rnacentral:tRNA from 1 species
UAGCACAGUGGUUAAGUGCUUAGCUGCUAACUAAAAGGUUGGAGGUUUGAACCCUCC